UGAAAAUGCUCUGAACUUUUAAGUUUCCCAGAGCCUUUCUAAAAAGAUUGCUUACCACCUUGGCUAAAGGUACCAGGUGUUGAAAAAACUCCUAUAUGAUUAUAUACAAAUACAGUUACCUCCACAUCCCUAAAGAAUCAAGGGAAAGGAAAAAUGAAACUUAUAACAAGAAAUACCAUUUCCUAAAUCAGCAGUAGAAACAAAGGGCAUUUAUGUUUUUAUUAGGUUGACACUUAGCGGCUUUCUGUUCUUGGAAUAUUAUUAAAAACCAAACUAGUGUAAACUAUGUUGAUAGGUUAAAUUGAAUCUUUAUCUGUGGUUAGCAUAGGAAUGGCCUUCCGAAGCACUGGGGUGGGGAAUUGCCA
rnacentral:lncRNA from 1 species